rnacentral:snRNA from 1 species
GUGUUUACUUUGCAACAUAUAUUAAAAUUAUAAUGAUACAGAGAAGAUUAGCAAGGCCCAUGCACAGAUUACACCAACUCAUGAAACAUCUGUAUUAUGU